GGGUUACAUGAGCAAGUAAAUGCGUAUCAGGAACGGAUUUUCCUAUUCGCUCACCUGAUUGUAGUCCGUUUGUAAUGCGUAUUACCUCUGCUCAUGUAACCCCGAGUAAUGUUGAUGUGUUUCAUAAGAUUUGUGGUGGCGGGAUUAUCGUCAUUAACUAAUUACUUGAUAUAUUUUAAUGGGGAGUGGUGUAAUGCCCGCACGACUGUUGACUUUCAUUGUAAUUGCUUGAGCUGGUUCCUGGGCCGCCUCAGAUAGCAGGAUGGUGUGUCAAGUAGGUAUCAUGGCCUGACAGGAAGGCUUUCCGGUUAUGACUGAGGCCAGCAUCUCACGUGUCCUGGCUACGCCAAAUCACUGCGGAUGCCGGAUGCCGAGGACCGGAGAGCCAACCGCUUUGAGGCGUGAGCUCUGUGGCGUGGCUCGAGUGAUCACCAGGUUCUGACGGCUACGGCGCCGUCGACCUGGUUGAAUAGCUGGGGCCUGGACGAGAGUGCCCUUAGUACGGUGGUCAAUCGGUUACGUCCGAGGGGCGCUCGAACACGCUGCCGUCGCGUGGCUGCCGGCGGCCGCCCCCUCGCACGUGAAUCUCCUGGAGCGAGGACUGCGGGAGGCGGCCGCAUCAUCACCUGUGUCCGCGCUCAACACCGUGCCACGCACUAAUGGCGGAAGCCCGACUUUCUCCGAUGGAGGAGAGAAGCUGGACGCUGGCUGCCAGGCUGCUGGGGAGGGCGCUGGGUCUGCCAUCAGGGGACCCCCUGCGCGCGACCGCCGAGGCCUCGGCACCGGCGCGCCUGCCUUCGGUCCGAGGCUGGAGAUUGCGAGGCCGCCAGGCCUGGGCGAGAGCGAGAAUCCCACCGUGGCAACAGACGGCUGGCGUCACCUUCCGGUUGGACGUGUGCCCGAUCCGGGCUGGGGCCACGGCGGCGGAAAGGGAAAGCGUGGCUACGCUGCACCUCGCGUUCCUGCCCCUGUGUGCUGUCCGGCUUUGGACGGACGGAUCUGUGGAGGGCGGAGUCUUCAGGCGCUGGGCGGGAGCCGUGCUGGUCUGGCUGGACGAAGAGGUCGAGGAACUGCGGGCCCCGGCCGGAGAGCUGUGCUAUAGCUACCGCGCGGAGAUGGUGGCGCCGGUGACCGGUCCGGAGACCGUACUCGGAAGAGACAGAGACCAGGACCUGCGGUCCGUACCUAUCUGCUAACUGUGCGGUAGUGCUGGUGUAGUGCAACAUUUUUGGAUGGCUAGCUACAUUUCACGAUUAAAUAGCUGGUACGUUUCAGUGCAGGUGGCGUGACGAGCAAUGUAUCUGUUGGCCACUUCUGCGGCCGCUGCCAUUUCCUACUCGAAGGCGGGCGCACUACUUGGCUGGGCCGGCAGGAUGUUCCUAUUAUGUGUCGACGACAAAGCGAGUAUAUUCAUGUUCUUUUAAAGGGACUAUCCCACCUUCUAAAAUGUUGUUAAAACCAGUUAAAUUGUGCCCGACUUUAUAGACUGGAUGACCAGGAACACGGUUCUGGCAUUUAUUUUUCAUUAAACAUUUUAGGCUUCCAUAUUCCAAACACAAACUUUCAAAUAUGUGACGUCACAGCCCAAAAUUACCUCCUUCCCCAGGCCACAUUACUGUCAUAAAGCUGAUUCUUUUUACUCUGUAGGGACCACAACAAAGUUCAGACCAAGUUUUAAGCGAUUUUUCAACGAACAAACCCAUUUAAAUCAGAAUGACUAAACGAGGUGACGUCACACUAACGGUCGCUCCAUGUUGAAGAUAGGGCCUUGUACAAGGCCCAUUUUCAAAUGAAGGGAACGAAUUUCUUCAACACCAAGAGGCCGCGGGGGUUGCAACCUAGAUAGAUAGUGGUUUCUGAACCUCGCCGCAAACUUGGCUAUCUCAACUCAAACCCCAUGUUAAAGGUGGGAUAGUCCCUUUAAUGCACAGAAGUCUGUUGUAUAUUUGAAGUUUUAUUUUAGGUUGACGAUUGCGAAGGGCAGAUUCAUCUUCUCUCUUUCAUUUGUGUUGCCACUUUAGCGUUCAUGUUUGU
rnacentral:lncRNA from 1 species